CCUACGGGUGGCAGCAGUGAGGAAUAUUGGUCAAUGGACGAGAGCCUGAACCAGCCAAGUAGCGUGAAGGAUGACUGCCCUACGGGUUGUAAACUUCUUUUAUAAAGGAAUAAAACGAGGCACGUGUGCCUUUUUGCAUGUACUUUAUGAAUAAGGAUCGGCUAACUCCGUGCCAGCAGCCGCGGUAAUACGGAGGAUGCGAGCGUUAUUCGGAAUUAUUGGGCGUAAAGCGCUCGUAGGCGGUAUGUCAAGUCAAGUGUGAAAUUCACGGGCUCGACGUUGGAAGUGCCGUUGAAACUGGCAAACUGGAGUGUGUGAGAGGAUAGUGGAAUUCCAGGUGUAGCAGUGAAAUCCGUAGAUAUCUGGAGGAACAUCAGUGGCGAAGGCGACUAUCUGGCA
rnacentral:rRNA from 1 species